rnacentral:rRNA from 1 species
UACAGAGGGGGCAAGCGUUGUUCGGAAUUACUGGGCGUAAAGGGCGCGUAGGCGGCCUGUUAAGUCGAACGUGAAAUCCCCGGGCUCAACCCGGGAACUGCGUCCGAUACUGGCAGGCUUGAAUCCGGGAGAGGGAUGCGGAAUUCCAGGUGUAGCGGUGAAAUGCGUAGAUAUCGGGAGGAACACCUGUGGCGAAAGCGGCGCACUGGACCAUAACUGACGCUGAGGCGCGAAAGCUAGGGGAGCAAACAGG